UGCGCAGGCGGUUUUGUAAGACAGACGUGAAAUCCCCGGGCUUAACCUGGGAACUGCGUUUGUGACUGCAAGGCUAGAGUAUGGCAGAGGGGGGUAGAAUUCCACGUGUAGCAGUGAAAUGCGUAGAGAUGUGGAGGAAUACCGAUGGCGAAGGCAGCCCCCUGGGUCAAUACUGACGCUCAUGCACGAAAGCGUGGGGAGCAAACAGGAUUAGAUACCCUGGUAGUCCACGCCCUAAACGAUGUCAACUAGGUGUUGGGGGAGGAGACUUCCUUAGUACCGCAGCUAACGCGUGAAGUUGACCGCCUGGGGAGUACGGCCGCAAGGUUGAA
rnacentral:rRNA from 1 species